GAAAGAUUACCAGGUUGUCCAAAAAAGCAUCUAGAUUAUCUGCAUGAGAGAAGUUACCGUGCUCCCUUAAAAAACUGUUCUUGCUUGUGUAUAAACUAAGCAUGAUCACCAACAAACGAGUUAAUGAAGAUGAAUACUUCAACGCUGCAUCCUGUAUAAAAUAUCAGGUUUGCAAGUCACCUCUAAUCACUGGGUCUCUGUUCUAGCAUGUGCUAAACGUAAAGCAGUGUUGGGGAUUUCGCUAUGGGAAAUUACCGAUGCGAAGAAAGUAUUGUGAGAC
rnacentral:misc_RNA from 1 species